rnacentral:rRNA from 1 species
ACAAAGGACGACAUUAGACGAAUCAUCUGGAAAGAUGAAUCAAAGAAGGUAAUAAUCCUGUAGUCGAAAAUGUUGUCUCUCUUGAGUGGAUCCUGAGUACGACGGAGCACGUGAAAUUCCGUCGGAAUCUGGGAGGACCAUCUCCUAAGGCUAAAUACUCUCUAGUGACCGAUAGUGAACCAGUACCGUGAGGGAAAGGUGAAAAGCACCCCGGAAGGGGAGUGAAAUAGAACCUGAAACCGUGUGCUUACAAGUAGUCAGAGCCCGUUAAUGGGUGAUGGCGUGCCUUUUGUAGAAUGAACCGGCGAGUUACGAUUUGAUGCAAGGUUAAGCAGUAAAUGUGGAGCCGUAGCGAAAGCGAGUCUGAAUAGGGCGUUUAGUAUUUGGUCGUAGACCCGAAACCAGGUGAUCUACCCUUGGUCAGGUUGAAGUUCAGGUAACACUGAAUGGAGGACCGAACCGACUUACGUUGAAAAGUGAGCGGAUGAACUGAGGGUAGCGGAGAAAUUCCAAUCGAACCUGGAGAUAGCUGGUUCUCUCCGAAAUAGCUUUAGGGCUAGCCUCAAGUGAUGAUUAUUGGAGGUAGAGCACUGUUUGGACGAGGGGCCCCUCUCGGGUUACCGAAUUCAGACAAACUCCGAAUGCCAAUUAAUUUAACUUGGGAGUCAGAACAUGGGUGAUAAGGUCCGUGUUCGAAAGGGAAACAGCCCAGACCACCAGCUAAGGUCCCAAAAUAUAUGUUAAGUGGAAAAGGAUGUGGCGUUGCCCAGACAACUAGGAUGUUGGCUUAGAAGCAGCCAUCAUUUAAAGAGUGCGUAAUAGCUCACUAGUCGAGUGACACUGCGCCGAAAAUGUACCGGGGCUAAACAUAUUACCGAAGCUGUGGAUUGUCCUUUGGACAAUGGUAGGAGAGCGUUCUAAGGGCGUUGAAGCAUGAUCGUAAGGACAUGUGGAGCGCUUAGAAGUGAGAAUGCCGGUGUGAGUAGCGAAAGACGGGUGAGAAUCCCGUCCACCGAUUGACUAAGGUUUCCAGAGGAAGGCUCGUCCGCUCUGGGUUAGUCGGGUCCUAAGCUGAGGCCGACAGGCGUAGGCGAUGGAUAACAGGUUGAUAUUCCUGUACCACCUAUAAUCGUUUUAAUCGAUGGGGGGACGCAGUAGGAUAGGCGAAGCGUGCGAUUGGAUUGCACGUCUAAGCAGUAAGGCUGAGUAUUAGGCAAAUCCGGUACUCGUUAAGGCUGAGC